CAGACAGACGGACAGACAUGACGAUUACAUAAGCCCUGGUUCGGGCUCAAAUUAGAAAGAGAAGAUGCUUUUAUCUUGUGACAAAUAAACUUAAAUUGGUCCCAUGUAAAACUGCGUUCUACAUUUGAAGGACUAGCAUUUGAGAAAAAUUAAUGUUAAUUUUUGCACCUGUGCUUUCGAAGAAGAAAUUCAAUUUCCUAUCUCGCUUAAGCCAAAAUACGUGGUUUGUAAAGACAAAGACAUCGAAAAAACCCGAGUUUGUCUAGGAAAGUUAGAGUCCAUUAGUUUUUUGUAGGCUAGUAUGUUUCCUGGACUUUUUUCGGGGGGGGCGCAGUCGACUAACUUCUUUUAUCAUAUUUAUGAUAUUAAAAAUUUUAACAAAUUACUUAAAAUAUUAUAUUAUAAUAUUAUAUCUGCGACGCGUGCGCCCGUCGGCGCCUCAGCGCCUACCCUCUUCUACCCUCGCCAACCCUCUCCCUGCCCUACCCUCUCCCUGGCCUUGUAAGAACGCGAUUGUUUAAUUUACUGUGUGUGUGUGUGAAUUACUUUUAAGAUAAGAAAUUGAGAUUAGAACUUAUAUAAUUGUUUUCUAUAUUUCUAAGUUUGGACCAGUUUCGUUAACAGAAAUUAAUUUGUGCAUGCACAAGAAAGCUCUGUGCGCCUAGCGGCGCGAUCACACUUUGCCGCCUUGAACAUUUCCCCCUAACAAAUGUAUGAUACAUUUGUAUGUUACCAUAAUUAGUAUUUAUAAUUAGUAUCUUGCUCCAACCUGGUUAGAAGUAAAAAUAACGCUUAGAAUUAUCCCAAUUCAUAGGAAGGCCGAAAAUGCGUUGUAUAUAAAGACUAUUUUAAGCCCUUAAGGGCUGAAGCCUUUAUUAUCUCAUGAGUCAUAACGUAAAGCAUGCAACUAAACCGGCUUCAUGCAUAAGUAACGUCGUUAAGAACAUGAUUUUGAUAGUAUUUAUAACAAAUUACCUAUUUUACAUAAGCGUGAAAUACCGUAACUGAGGAGAAAUUAAGACCUAAAGCUAAAAUUACGUCCUUUGGUUCAGGGAACGUUCGUAUACUACGGGAUUAAAAAAACGCUGAUUUAAAGAUCACCCACCCCUUCCCUAUCCCAUGUCAUGUAAAGCCUAUGUACAUAUCUGUAACUGGAGUAAGAUACAUACAUACGCGACCGAAAACCAACCAGUGACCUUUUUGGCGACGUAAUACGUGAACGAAUCAGCAUUUGGAAUGCUCCACGCAACCGGUCGCUUUAAUGUUGACUUUGUACCCAAGCUACUUUCACAUUUCGUUCGGGAUAAAUUCACACUCGAAAAAGGCAGCCAUUUAUCUUCUAUCCUUGCCUUCGUCACGACAUAAUUUAUUUCCUUAGAAAAUGUUAAGUUGUCACAUUUUGAGAUAAUGUAGGGGGAUUCGGAGUGGGGGUGGUUGCCUGGGAGAGUUGAGACGCCAGGUUUACCUAUUUGAGGUACCCUUUUCAACCUACUUGUGACCUUAAUAAACGUUGGACUCGGAAUUUUUUUUACAAUUUGAGAUUUAGUGAUCACGAGUUUUUCUGAAAUGAUUACAAUCCCAUUACCAAAUUUGAUUUCAAGCUGCAACCCCGCUUAAAUCUAAUUGGUUGAUGGAACCCUACAGUUAUUUCGAUUGAAAACCUACCUGACAACGUUACUCCAAUGCGGAAGUUCACUACAACGUUCUACAUAAAGGACAAUAAAGGACACCUUGUAGCCGGGUACCGUUCGUAUUAAAUCAUUUAUAAUGUACUCUGCAAUGAAUUAUUUAGUUUUAAUUAAGUAAAAGCAGAAGUUAGAAUCUAAACGUCA